GAUGAACGCUGGCGGAAUGCUUUACACAUGCAAGUCGAACGGCAGCACGGGGCAACCUGGUGGCGAGUGGCGAACGGGUGAGUAAUACAUCGAAACGUGCCCAAUCGUGGGGGAUAACGUAGCGAAAGUUACGCUAAUACCGCAUACGAUCUACGGAUGAAAGCGGGGGAUCGCAAGACCUCGCGCGAAUGGAGCGGCCGAUGUCAGAUUAGGUAGUUGGUGGGGUAAAGGCUCACCAAGCCGACGAUCUGUAGCUGGUCUGAGAGGACGACCAGCCACACUGGGACUGAGACACGGCCCAGACUCCUACGGGAGGCAGCAGUGGGGAAUUUUGGACAAUGGGCGCAAGCCUGAUCCAGCCAUUCCGCGUGCAGGAUGAAGGCCUUCGGGUUGUAAACUGCUUUUGUACGGAACGAAACGGUUCUCUCUAAUACAGGGGGCUAAUGACGGUACCGUAAGAAUAAGCACCGGCUAACUACGUGCCAGCAGCCGCCGUAA
rnacentral:rRNA from 1 species